rnacentral:rRNA from 1 species
UACGAGGGGGGGCGAGCGUUGUUCGGAAUUAUUGGGCGUAAAGGGUGCGUAGGCGGGUCUUUUAAGUCAGGGGUGAAAUCCUGGAGCUCAACUCCAGAACUGCCUUUGAUACUGAAGAUCUUGAGUUCGGGAGAGGUGAGUGGAACUGCGAGUGUAGAGGUGAAAUUCGUAGAUAUUCGCAAGAACACCAGUGGCGAAGGCGGCUCACUGGCCCGAUACUGACGCUGAGGCACGAAAGCGUGGGGAGCAAACAGG